GAUGAACGCUGGCGGCGUGCCUAAUACAUGCAAGUCGAGCGAACAGACGAGGAGCUUGCUCCUCUGACGUUAGCGGCGGACGGGUGAGUAACACGUGGAUAACCUACCUAUAAGACUGGGAUAACUUCGGGAAACCGGAGCUAAUACCGGAUAAUAUAUUGAACCGCAUGGUUCAAUAGUGAAAGACGGUUUUGCUGUCACUUAUAGAUGGAUCCGCGCCGCAUUAGCUAGUUGGUAAGGUAACGGCUUACCAAGGCAACGAUGCGUAGCCGACCUGAGAGGGUGAUCGGCCACACUAGAACUGAGACACGGUCCAUACUCCUACGGGAGGCAGCAGUAGGGAAUCUUCCGCAAUGGGCGAAAGCUUGACGGAGCAACGCCGCGUGAGUGAUGAAGGUCUUCGGAUCGUAAAACUCUGUUAUUAGGGAAGAACAAAUGUGUAAGUAACUAUGCACGUCUUGACGGUACCUAAUCAGAAAGCCACGGCUAACUACGUG
rnacentral:rRNA from 1 species